rnacentral:misc_RNA from 1 species
GAUAAGAACGCAGCGAAAUGCGAUAAGUAGUGUGAAUUGCAGAAUUCAGUGAAUCAUCGAAUCUUUGAACGCACAUUGCGCCCCUUGGUAUUCCAUGGGGCAUGCCUGUUCGAGCGUCAUUUGUACCCUCAAGCACUGCUUGGUGUUGGGUGUUUGUCCCGCUUUGCGCGUGGACUCGCCUUAAAGCAAUUGGCAGCCGGCAGAUUGGCCUGGAUCGCGAGCACAUUUUGCGACCUUGUCAUAACUGUUUGGCACCCAUCAAGACUAUUUUUUGCUCUUGACCUCGGAUCAGGUAGGGAUACCCGCUGAACUUAAGCAUAUCAAUAAGCGGAGGA